rnacentral:misc_RNA from 1 species
AAAGUCGUAACAAGGUCUCCGUAGGUGAACCUGCGGAGGGAUCAUUACUGAGCGAGGGCCCUCGCGGCCCGACCUCCAACCCCAUGUCAUCCGACCCUGUUGCCUCGGGGGCGACCCGGCCUUCGGGCGUCGGGGCCCCCGACGGACCCCUCAAACACUGCAUCCAUGCGUCCGAGUACGAUUACAAACCAAUCAAAACUUUCAACAACGGAUCUCUUGGUUCUG